GGGUCGAGAAGAUCCCCUGGAGGAGGAAGUGGCAAUCUGCUCUAGUUUUUUUGUCUGGGAAAUCCCAUGGACAGAGGAGUCUGGAGGGCUACAAUCCAUGGGGUUGCAAAGAAUCUGACAGGACUUAUCAACUGAGCACAAGCAAAGUAAAGAAGCACACCGCCCACAGCAUUCUUGAAAGUUUAAGGUAGGAAUCCCCUCCCUUUAGAAAAAUGGAACAAAGUUCUUAUGAAGAACAGUGUCACAUUUAAUUAAAAUAAUGAUAAAUUCAGAGAACAAUUUUAAAAGUAUAAAAUUUUUUUUUUUUUAAGUUUCUAAAAUCUUGUAUUUCAGCUGAAAUAGGGAAGCAGCCAGGGCAUCAAUGGGGGAGGCUCACCCAGGCGUCCUGGGCCAGGACCGCCUCAAUGGCACACAGCUUGGGGACCCAGGCCACAGCAUUGAUCCCCCUCCUCGGGGCCAGGGAGGAGAGGUGGGCCCCUGCAGCCAUUUCUGGGUGGGAGUUCGGGUAUGGGCAGGGAGAAGCAGAUUGGAAUCUAAUAAUCCUGGAACUGGUCCCUUCCAGUGCCAGCAACAGUAGGAGCAAGAACAUCAGCAAAACAGAGAAGUGACGACUUUGGGAACAACCAUCUUGUGGGGAGUAUGGCAUCUCUUGGCCACCACAGGUGGCCUUGUCAGGUCCUAUGAAAAGGCAAGGAGAUGUACAAGGACCUGGACCCCUGGGUGCUGAGCAGAGGAAGCACCAGAGGUCACUGGCAUCCCAGGGUGCCCAACUGAACAGAGACUUUCUGAGGGUCACUAGGAGCAGAGCAAAAGCAAAAAGACACAAUGAGCAGACCUGAGAGGAAUACCCAGGCAGAGUAGUUUCAAAAAGCAUGCAGAAGGGUAUCAUGGGAAACUCAGAAAUAACUGAGAGGUGAGAAAGACUCUUUGAGAGAGAAAAGUUAGUAGAAUCUCUGGAUCCAGUUAUAGCUUGGGUUACAUUUCAUGAAAGUGCUGUUUAGAGACUAGAAUCACUGGGCUCUAAACCCCAAACAGCUGCAUGUAGUUGAUCCACAAAAGAGCCAGGAGAUGGAGCAACAGGAGCUCAACAGGAGCUCAUCUUCUCCUCAGGCUUCAAGACCUAGGCAUCACGCCCCAACUUAGACGAACUCUUUCCUAACUUUCUCUAUACACAGUUUCCCCCUCCUCUGUGCUUGAAGAGCACUCAGCUACUUUUAGUAGAGAAUUUGCUGCACUGGACCACGGUAGUCCACAUUAGUGUCUCUUUGACUCCAGAAACACUUUCAGGAGGAGUUCAGCAGGAACUAACUCAUCUCUGUUCUUUAGUAUUGUUGUGUUGUUGUUCAAUUGCUAAGUCAUGUCCUGUACUUU
rnacentral:lncRNA from 1 species